AGCUCGUUAGCUCAAUUGGUAGAGCGCCCAGCAUACACAACUCCCUGUUAGCUGGUGUCCGGUCUGACCAACCGUGACUGUCAGUCGUUGGCGGAGGGCGGAACUUUGACAGUGGGCCGGGGGGAGCCUGACACUGGGUGGUUCCAAGUUCGAACCUUGGACGAGCCA